ACCACCGCAUUCUAACAACUAAAAUUAUAAUUAGAAUUGAAUCAACUCAAAUUAGAAUUUGCCCUUUAAAUGGCAAGAUCGGUUGCAGUAAAAAUAAUCGAUCGAAGCAAACUGAUGGUGUCAGUUAGUUAACACAGUUGAAAGGUUACUUAUUCUUUACGGAUUAAAAAUGGCUUUACGAAUUAAUUUUUUGAAGAUUUGUGGAGCAACGAGGGCCUUCGCGACCCAGGCUAGAAGGGACAAAGUAAGGCAAAAUCUGGAAGCCAAAAAGAAACUCUUCCAGGCAGAUAACGAUAUUCCAGUACAUAUAAAAGGUGGUUUUAAUGAUCAAAUUUUGUACCAAGCCACAAGGAUUGCUAUUUUUGCUGGAGUAGUUUAUUCUUUGUAUACUGCUGCAACAUUGAUACUCAAAUCUGUUAAAUAGUGUUCUAUACCCCAGUAGUAUACAUAUUUAGUUGGUC
rnacentral:lncRNA from 1 species